AUGACAGACAGAGACAAUGCGGAACUGCCCGUGGCAUUCUUCAGAGGCGAGCAUGUGGAACUCAACGUGCAUGUCGCUGCAGAUCUCGUCCGGUGGCGUGGAGAAGAGAUCCAGGGCCCGUGUGAGGGGAUCGUAGACAGCCAUUUGCUUGAUUUCCCAGUUGACGAGAACGACAUAUCCGUCGCGGCAGUCUUCCAUUGA
rnacentral:rRNA from 1 species